GAUGCAAAGGCUGGAAUUUCAUUGAACAACAACUUUGUGAAACUUGUCUCUUGGUAUGAUAAUGAAUGGGGCUACAGCACACGUGUUGUUGACUUGAUUCGACACAUGGCCUCAGUGUAAUGAUACAAGGAACUUGCUCCAACUUUUGCAGCAUCAAAUAAAAUGAAUAAUGAUAUCAACGAGCUACGAGGAGUUUGGUUCUUCAUUCGGCUGGUUUUUCUAUUAUAAGUAGUAGUGUUUGAAAUAUGUGACAAAAGUUUAAGUGAUUGUUGUCUAUCGCUGAGAACAACCUCAACUUCAGAAUAUGGUUGCCAAUGAUAGUUUUAAUUAGUAAUUUCCAAGUUUUCUUUGGCAUCAAAAUUCUAGAGAAAUUUUGUAGUUUAAAUAUAUAUUAAUAAUAUCAAAAUUUUGAGA